rnacentral:tRNA from 1 species
GGAGGGGUGGCAGAGUGGUCGAAUGCGGCGGUCUUGAAAACCGUUAGGGCGCAAGCCCUCGGGGGUUCGAAUCCCUCCCCCUCCGCCA